rnacentral:sRNA from 1 species
AAUCCUUCACUCUCAUUUCCUUCAAGAAUGGCCAGUUGGGUCUCAAUGCAGAGCAUGCGUGGGCAGAUGCUCCCAUCAUUGGGCACCUCUGGGAGGUAAUGGCCUUGCAGAGGGAACCUGCAGGGCAGGCUGUAGGGGAUGAGGCCAGCCUCUCAGUCUCAUCCUCUCCCUGCAGUUUGUCCUGGGCACAGACAGCUUCCACCUGGGCUACACGGAGACCGGGCACUGCCUGGGCAAACCGAACCCUGCGCUCGCACCUCCUACACGGCUGCAGUGGGACAUUCCAAAACAGUGCCAGGCGGUCAUCGAGAGUUCCUACCAGGUGGCCAAGGCGUUGGCAGACGACGUGGAGUUGUACUGCUUCCAGUUCCUGCCCUUUGGCAAAGGCCUCAUCAAGAAGUGCCGGACCAGCCCUGAUGCCUUUGUGCAGAUCGCGCUGCAGCUGGCUCACUUCCGGGUAGGAGCCCCGCCUCCCGCUGCUGAGAGGGCAGGGUGGUACCAGGGUCCACCUGCCAGAUUCACCCCUCUGUAUAUCCCAGGACAGGGGUAAGUUCUGCCUGACCUAUGAGGCCUCAAUGACCAGAAUGUUCCGGGAGGGACGGACUGAGACUGUGCGUUCCUGUACCAGCGAGUCCACAGCCUUUGUGCAGGCCAUGAUGGAGGGGUCCCACACGAAAGCAGACCUGCGAGAUCUCUUCCAGAAGGCUGCUAAGAAGCACCAGAAUAUGUACCGCCUGGCCAUGACCGGGGCAGGGAUCGACAGGCACCUCUUCUGCCUUUACUUGGUCUCCAAGUACCUAGGAGUCAGCUCUCCUUUCCUUGCUGAGGUGCUCUCGGAACCCUGGCGUCUCUCCACCAGCCAGAUCCCCCAAUCCCAGAUCCACAU